GACGAACGCGGGCGGCGUCCUCAUACAUGCAAGUAGAACGCUGAAGCUUGGUGCUUGCACCGAGCGGGUGAGUUGCGAACGGGUGAGUAACGCGUAGGUAACCUGCCGGUAGCGGGGGAUAACUAUUGGAAACGAUAGCUAAUACCGCAUGACAACAGUUAUUGCAUGAUAACUGUUUAAAAGGGGCAAUUGCUCCACUACCAGAUGGACCUGCGUUGUAUUAGCUAGUUGGUGAGGUAACGGCUCACCAAGGCGACGAUACAUAGCCGACCUGAGAGGGUGAUCGGCCACACUGGGACUGAGACACGGCCCAGACUCCUACGGGAGGCAGCAGUAGGGAAUCUUCGGCAAUGGACGGAAGUCUGACCGAGCAACGCCGCGUGAGUGAAGAAGGUUUUCGGAUCGUAAAGCUCUGUUGUAAGAGAAGAACGAGUGUGAGAGUGGAAAGUUCACACUGUGACGGUAUCUUACCAGAAAGGGACGGCUAACUACGUGCCAGCAGCCGCGGUAAUACGUAGGUCCCGAGCGUUAUCCGGAUUUAUUGGGCGUAAAGCGAGCGCAGGCGGUUAGAUAAGUCUGAAGUUAAAGGCUGUGGCUUAACCAUAGUACGCUUUGGAAACUGUUUAACUUGAGUGCAAGAGGGGAGAGUGGAAUUCCAUGUGUAGCGGUGAAAUGCGUAGAUAUAUGGAGGAACACCGGUGGCGAAAGCGGCUCUCUGGCUUGUAACUGACGCUGAGGCUCGAAAGCGUGGGGAGCAAACAGG
rnacentral:rRNA from 1 species